rnacentral:rRNA from 1 species
UAGUCCACGCCGUAAACGAUGAUCACUCGCUGUAGGCGAUACACAGUCUGUGGCUAAGCGAAAGUUUUAAGUGAUCCACCUGGGGAGUACGAUCACAAGAUUGAAACUCAAAGGAAUUGACGGGGGCCCGCACAAGCGGAGGAACAUGUGGUUUAAUUCGAUGAUACGCGAGGAACCUUACCUGGACUUAAAUGUAGAUUGCAUAGCUUAGAGAUAGGCUUUUCUUCGGACUAUUUACAAGGUGCUGCAUGGUUGUCGUCAGCUCGUGCCGUGAAGUGUCAGGUUAAGUCCUAUAACGAGCGCAACCCCUGUUGUUAGUUGCCAGCGAUUCAAGUCGGGAACUCUAACAAGACUGCCAGUGCAAACUGUGAGGAAGGUGGGGAUGACGUCAAAUCAUCACGGCCCUUACGUCCUGGGCUACACACGUGCUACAAUGGUAGGGACAGAGAGCAGCCACUACGCGAGUAGGAGCGAAUCUAUAAACCCUAUCACAGUUCGG